GGAGGCGCUAGUGCGCAUGCUCAGACCGUCUGCCAGCCCAUAGGUUGCACAGGAUUGAACAGACACUUUCUCCGAGUUGGACAGCCUCGGUGCCCUAACUUGUGUGCCUUCCUCCAUCGAGGCUGCCCCACGAAUGUUCCAGGCUGUAUUAGUGGCUAACCCCCGGCCGGAAAACCAGAAAAAGCUCAAGAUUAUAUACUUGAGUGAUGAUGGGAUUAAUGCUGGCCUCCUGCUCUAGACUGGAAGCUCCAUGAGGGCAAGCUGCAGCUCCGGGCACUUAAGAUCCUGCACGCAUGGACGGUUUCAGGCCGGCCGCCUUUCUUCAGCGCGGAAUCUCCCUUCUUCCCCAAACGCUCUGCCACCCGCAGGCUCCAUCCAUCCAAUACCCGCGAGCCCACGUGGCGGCACUGAGGGGCCCAGGGCCUUUACCCCUGCAGAAGCGCUUCCCGCCAUCCCUCCGGCUGCUUGGAAGUACGGCAUCCCGUACCGUGGAGCACGGCACCUGUCACCCAGUCCUGUAGCCCCGUAUCGGACACAGACUGCGGUCCCGGUCAGCUCUCCACCCCAGCACCCCAGCAUCGUCAGCUGGGUGAAUGAUCAAGAGUAAAAGCGUAUUUCAAAACCGACAGCUUAGGGUCUCCCGGACGCCUGCACUUCCGGGUGGCCGUUGGGUGGCUCAGUGGGGCGUAAGGAAAGGAGAAGGGGCGCCUCCAUAGGGACAGUUCUAGGAAGUGGGCUCGGUGGUCUGGAGGACCUGGAGGUACGCCACACAAAGUGAGGCUUUGGCGUCUGCGCACUAGCCGCUCUCCGCGAGGAAGCGGGACCUAGAGGAGCAUGGGGCGGAGCGUGAGGACCACACUGGCCACUUAGCGCCCUCGAUCCGCCGAGGGGCUGGGCUCGGCUUGACUGGGAGGUGGGGAAGAGGGAGUAACUGGUCAGAUUUUCAAAGUGGUCCUUGAUUUCAGGAAGAGGGGAACAGGAACCAAGAAAAAUAAAGAAGUUUUUUUUUUUUUCUUUUCUUUUUUCUCCCCUUCCUCCCUCCCUUUAUGUUUGCUGUAGGCAAAGAUUAAGUGCAGCAACAUGCUUGAUUUUGUUUCUUCCAGCCUUCUCUGAAUCUUCACUGUAGGCAGUGAAAUGCCUUAAGCUUCCAUUCAGUGCCCUCCACCCAAGCCAUUCAGCUCAGAAGUUAAACCAACACACUGCAGCAUGAAGGAGGGAAUAUUCCAAUUCAUAUAGAGGACCUUGUGCUUGCCAGGCAGGAGCUUGUACCGCUGAGCUAUAUUGCCGGCCCCUUUAAUGGCGUUCAAUUUCAACUCUGUUAUAACAAGGUAUUAGAGAUAAUAGGGCUGUUCUUUAUCAUUGCAAUUAACAUAAUCUUAUUUCCUUACAAUUAAGUAAGCUUUUCUGCCUUAUUCUUUUUCCAUUUUGUUCGUUUUUGACCAUGUGGGGUGUUCAUUGUUAUUUGUAUACAGUACUGUAUGACCUAACCUAACAUGUCCCUAAGAUGUUGUUCUGUGUAAUCUUGGCUCUGCUUUUAGACUUCCUGUUUUUCUGUUUUUUUUCACUUCUUGGUUAACUUCCUGUUCUAUUCAUUUGGCUCUCCUAUUUUUGGUCUGCCUUGUGACUUGGCGCCAGAAGAAUGAUUUAAUGACAGAUUAUAAAAGCUAACCUGGUAUGGUGGCACACACUUUUAAUCCCAGAACUCUGGAAGGCUGAGGCAAGAGGACUGCAA